AAAAACACGACCCACCUCACAUCACAAUUCACAAGUCACAACCCUAUCUCUUUUUACGUCUUCUUUCUCGCACUUCUUUUCUUCUUCCUCUCUAUUUUUUUCUCUCUCACCGUCGACGGUCUUCAAUGGUCUGCUACCACACUUUCUUUGAUUUGAAGGAGGUUCGAUCGAUUUCUCACCGUCGCAGGUUUUCAUUUUAGGGUUCAUAUUGGCUUUUGCAUCUUGGCUGCACCUAUUGUCUUCAAGGGGAAAUCUCUUACAUAAGUGUACAUGUCUAUGAGUUUAUUUCUGUACACUUUGAUCUUUAUGUUUUCUAUGGUGCGACCGUGUAUCUGCUUUAUCUUUAUGUGAUUAAGCAAUUUAAGACUGUCAUGAUUUUAUUAAAAGCUUAACUCUCCAGCAUGCACUAUGGCUGACUGUUUAAUUGGUAUAUGUGCUAACCAAUUGCAUUAUUGUACUUAAACAUAGUAGAGUGCUAACUAACACUUGUACUGUUAUUGUAUGUAUGUGUUUUAUAUGGAUGGUGAUAGAUGUUUAAGGACACUAUGAAAUCUUAUGAUCUCUCGUUAUAAUUUGGUGUUUUUCUUUGAAAAAGACAUGUGAUCGAACAUCCCUUCUGUGGCUGUGACACUAGACACACUGCAUUUUGCAUCCUCGCAUGCGAUUUCUAGUCACUCCCAUCCUAACUGCAUGCUAUAUUAUGCUCAUGCAUGCUUAUUUUUGGUAUCCUUUUACUUGGCUCUUUUCCAAUUUUGGUUGUUUCUCCUUGUAGUUAAGUGUAUGCUGUUAGAAUCUUAAACUUAGACAUAUUCAACAAUCACCCAAUAUAAUGUACCUUGCAGAAAUCACUAGAUAAUAAGUAGUAAGAACAAAAAUAAUAGUAUGUAGAAACAUUAACAUGAUAUUAGAAGUUAGAAGUCAAGAGUUGAGAUGAGACCACCAAGUUAAGAGUUUGGUUAAUAUAUGAAUUGAUGACGCAAGAUGUAUAUCAGUUAUCACUGGCUAGAGUAUCAUAAUUAAGAAGCAUAUAUAAAUACACUUGAUUUAUCUCUUUUGGAACUUAGGACUCUCAAAACUCACUGAUAAUUGUAUGCACAAACUACUCAACAUCAUUAUGUGCAUAGUGAACAUAACUAGUUUAUAAUCUAAGUCUAAUUGGCCAUUUACUAAGCUCUGACAAUAAGUUUUCAGUUUACAUAAGACAUUCAACCAUGUAUGGUAUACAAUUUUACUAGAUUUGUACUUAAAUUGGUAGUAUUAUUUUACUAGACACUUGCAUUAUUGCAAGGAGACAACUAGCACUUUGUUGUUUUGAAGCUCUAGAUCAUUGUCUUGAAAGUUACAAUGUGGAAAACCUGGGUAUUGUUGUUCCAACAACUGGUGUCUCGUAGAACUAGCUGAACCUACCAUUCAUAUUUUGCUUUGUGUCAAUAUGUUUAUUUACUUGUUCAUUCUUCCAUAUAUGCAUUUUGAUAUAUGUACUGCUAUUUAUUAAAUUAUUUAUGCUUUAUAUCGAAAUCUUAAUUUUACUUUUCAAGAAAUCCUUUUCAUGUUUCGAUUGAUUUUGAUUCUAAACCUGGCAAUAUUUGAGUUGUUGCAUGCUGGAAAGUACAUAUAGCCAGUUAAACAGUCUUGUUCAAUGUAUCUUAAAGGACCUUGUGGGAUGUGUGGGAGUUAUUUUCUUGUUGCUAGGUAGAAAAUGUGAGAUGUCUUUGCUUUUCUUAUUUCUGAAGUUUUCAAAUAUUUAUGGUUGCUGACACUUCUCUGUUUUGCUAUGAAUUAUAAGAAACUCGGAUGCAAAAUAACUCUCCUAGACAGAGAAUCUGAUGGUUUUAAGAUGAUCAUCAACUAUCUGGAGAAGACAUAUGAACCCAUUAAAGUUGGCGAAAUUAGUUAUGAUGUUUCUGUGGAGAACAUCCUUGCUGUUGAUUUGAGCGCUGGACCAUCUUAUGAGGAGAUAAAGUAGUUGCCAAACAAAGUCCUAUUAUGGUGUGAUAAUAUUGGGAUUCCAGUCCAUUUUGAUACGGAUAUACCUCAUACUAGAGUGUUCAAAAAUUCCAUGCUCAAUGAGCUGCUGCCUGAUUGCAUAACCAGCUCAUUGUAUAGCCAAGGGCCAUCUUUUUUCCCCACUGUCGGUCACAAGCUAGGGACAACUGACCUCUUCGCAUCAAGUGAAAGAAAGAUAUUCUCGAAGAUCAGGGUUCAAUCCAAUGUGGCAACACACAUUCAGGAGUCUAUAAAAAGCAUUCAACGUUAUUGCAACAAUUCCUUCAUGGGGGUCACCAAGCAACAAGCUAUCGAUAUAUUCUUGGGGAAUUUCCGGCCUGAAGUUGUUGAAAUGACUUCAUCGAAAAGCAGUUCAGAUCAAAAGGAAAAUUGUGGGUGUCUUAAAGCUUUAUACUUGAAAAACUUAUCCAGGUACAAAAGCAAUUUGCUAUGAUACCAAGUUGAUGCAGGACACAGGACGCUUUGCUUCUCUUAUCAUCAUGCAUUCAUAAUAGUUGAGAUAAAUUCCUGAUUCAGUAAGAUUUGAUCUCACUGUUAUCUGCAUGUGUAACUUAUGCAUCUAUUCUGGUUUCGAAAGGCUCGGGCUUCAAGAUGAUGCUCAUAAACGUGGUUCCCGGUUCUUGACGGGACCAUCUGGACGCUCUCGGCAUGACUCAAAUGAAGGGUAGGUUUGCAUAUAUGUAGGCUGUAGCAAAGAAUGCUGCAGGAAUCAGAUUGAUGUACCACAGCUGAAAAUGUCAGCCAAGACAAAGAUGAGAAUAGGUGGCUGGCGCGGUGGAGGGUGGCUGAUGCGGCGGAGAUGUGGCUGAUGAACUGGUGAGGUUUCUGGUGGUGCGGUGGCUGGCCCGGUGGUGCAGUACCUCGGCAUUAGCAGUGGCUCAGACUAGUAUUAGAUUGAAGUUGUAUUAGAUUUUAGUUACAAUGUAAUUAUACUAUUAUAAUACUAAAUUUUGGUAUUAGAUUAUAAUUAUAUAUUUAAUUUAAAUAAAAUUCUCAUUUGUUUAA